AUUGAACGCUGGCGGCAGGCCUAACACAUGCAAGUCGAACGGUAACAGGAAGAAGCUUGCUUCUUUGCUGACGAGUGGCGGACGGGUGAGUAAUGUCUGGGAAACUGCCUGAUGGAGGGGGAUAACUACUGGAAACGGUAGCUAAUACCGCAUAACGUCGCAAGCCCAAAAAGGGGGACCUUCGGGCCUCUUGCCAUCGGAUGUGCCCAGAUGGGAUUCGCUAGUAGGUGGGGUAACGGCUCACCUAGUCGACGAGCCCUAGCUGGUCUGAGAGGAGGACCAGCCACACUGGAACUGAGACACGGUCCAGACUCCUACGGGAGGCAGCAGUGGGGAAUAUUGCACAAUGGGCGCAAGCCUGAUGCAGCCAUGCCGCGUGUAUGAAGAAGGCCUUCGGGUUGUAAAGUACUUUCAGCGGGGAGGAAGGGAGUAAAGUUAAUACCUUUGCUCAUUGACGUUACCCGCAGAAGAAGCACCGGCUAACUCCGUG
rnacentral:rRNA from 1 species